rfam:Oryza sativa Japonica Group DNA, chromosome 4, cultivar: Nipponbare, complete sequence.
AAAAAGACAAACCCUGAGUUUCCGUGUCUAACUUUGACAGUUCGUCUUACAUGAAAUUUUUUUAUAAUUUGUAUUUUAUUGUCGUUAGAUGAUAAAACAUGAUUAAUAUUUUAUACGUGACUUGUCUUUUUAAUUUUUUUCAUAAUUUUUUCAAAUAAGACGGACAGUCAAAAGUUGGACACGGAAACCAGGGUUUGUCUUUUU